CCACCGCAAGGUGUCCUGGCUUGGGGGCGAAACAUCAGUGAACGGUGGCACCAGCUGACGACCCUGCAGCUGACCUCGAAGUGCACUGGAGGAGGUGCGACAGGCAGAGAUGCCAAGCAGUUAGGAACACACAGUUCUUCAUUCCCAACUGGUAUAAACGGACAACUGGAUGUUUUCAUGGUUAUCUUACCAUGAGGGUCACAUACUCAAGAAGUCUUCCUCACACUCACCGAUCAGGACACAUUGAUGAAAUCAUAUGAAAUUAUAGGAAUUAUGUAACCAUUUCCCCCUGUCAGGCAGGAAAAAAGAAAAAGUCCGAAGAGCUGCGUGGGUCGCAAACUCGGGUUGUAUGUACACAAGUGCAGUGGAAAACGGAUCAAGAUUUGGCAAUUUAUCAGGGAAAAUCCCAUUUGACAUGUUGAGACCUAUUUGACAUGUUGAAACCUAUGCAAUGUGCUAACUGCAGCGUGUGUUUACACUUUGAUUUACGGCAGCCCUGUUUGAAACUUUACCUUAAAGAAAUCAAGUGUCAUCCAUGUGAGACAUAUGUAUGUGUUUUAAAACUUAAUAAUAUGAAACUCAAGCUUAUGGCUUUGUAAAAAAAAUUCCAAAAAAAAAAAGUACAAUCUAAGAUAUCAUCCAGGUUGACUUGUCUAUUUUGGGCUUAGUGCAAACUUUAUUUUGGUCAUAAAAAAUACAAAAAUGCCACAUUGACCAGUGUAUUUUGGGCAAAAAAUGUAAAACUUGACCCUACGUGGUAAAACAGUGGUGUCAAACUCAUUUUAGAUCGGGGGCCACAUGGAGAAAAAUCUACUCCCAAGUGGGCCGGACUGGUAAAAUCACAGCACGAUAACUUAAAAAUAAAGACAACUUCAGAUUGUUUUCUUUGUUUAAAAAUAGAACAAGCGUAUUCUGAAAAUGUACAAAUCAUAAUGUUGUUGUUUUUUUUUACACUUGCAUGUUGCGGUUAAUAGUAUUCUAUCUUUAUUCGUUGUUAUUUAUACUGUCUUAAUAAAUUAUGUGAUAAUGUUCAUCAGUCAACUCAUGGGUGUCAAUUUUCAAUCAAUCAAGAUAAAAAUAUGUCAAAAAUAAAUUACAGGAUGUUAUUUAUGUAGUUUGCUCAUUUUCCUCGACUGAUGUACUAACAUAAUGUGGUUUAUAUUGUACAUACAGGUAUGUAGAAUCAUCUACAAAGAUAUAAAUCAGGGGUGUCCAAACCUUUUCCACUGAGGGCUGCACACUGAAAAAUCAAAGCAAGCGUGGGCCAUUUUGAUAUUUUUUAUUUUAAAAACCAAUACAAUAUAUGUAUAAAAAAGAUACAUUUAAGCCUCCACUCAGACUUGAUCCCAAAAGGUUUUGGUCAAAAAGAAAUAUUACAAAUGUGUCAUUAUUUAGUAUUAUUAUU